GGUUUGCCUCCAGCAUAUGCUGUACUAGCAUAGCAGCUCUUCAGGCACUGUGUUUUCCGGUAUAUGUGUGAGUGACAGCACCAAAAAGCAGCAGCUGUUACAUAAAGGAGCCCGAUGCUUCCUUGGCAGCUGCAAUGGCCUCACCAGCCUCCUUUGCCACAGUGGCCAUCAGAGGCUGUCACAUCUGGAGCAGAGGCUGCAGCAUCGGAGCAUCACUGGGAACUCACUUGCGCUGCUGUCCUACGACAAAGGCAGGAGGAGCUGUGCCAUGGUCCAUGGUCACUGCCAGGCCGUUCACUUCACAUACUGGGCUCUUCUCUAAAUGUUGGAUGGGACAGUCAGCUGAUGUGGAGUCAGAAGAGACACAUGGUUUACCUGCAACAAAGCUGAUACUAGACUGGAUUAUAAAACAAACACCAGCUUUGAAGUUGUUGACUCUACCCACGAACCAAAACUUCCUGGUUGGAAGCAACCAGAGCAAACUGUAAGUAAGCAAAACCUGGCCUCAGCUAUGUGUGUUGGAGGAAGCCAAAGUUUCCCCAGUCUGAGGCAGUCUGGACCACUCAUCUCACCCUCUGGGAAGGUGAGAACUGUCACAGUGUUUUGAGCUCAGAACUCAACUUUCUGUAGGUCUGGAUGCAUUUGGGUAUCUGCUUCUGGAUCACACAACUUUGGAGUUUGAGCAGGCUUGGCAAGGGAUGAAUUUUGGACAAUGAAAUCGUGGAGACAGACACCAAGGCACAGCAGGAAAGAAUUCUACUCUCAAAAACUGUUUUUCUAAAAGUAAGUGCCCAAGACUUAGAGUAUUACAAAGGAUAACUGCGGAGGCUGGAAGGAAUGAGAGACUUAUUAGAAAUGGCCUAGCCUCAUGAGGAAUCACUGGGCAAGUGGUUCUGGUAUAAAUGAUGAUGCUCAGCACUUCUUGGAGAAGGAGACAAAUCUCCUUAAUCCUGGGCAGACCCCAGAGUGUCUUCAACCUUGGCAUCCAGCAAUUGGGUUUGCCAGGACAGUACCUGAGGAUGCAGCACUUGCUUUGUGUAUCAGAAUCAUUCUCAUAACAGCAGUAGCUAAUUCUGCCUCGUCUUCCCCUUGGAAAUUCCCCUCUUGGGGAAUGUGGCAGAGGUUGGGCUGCAUGGAUAUUAGGAAGGGCCUGAAAUAAAGUGGCCCUAAAGUGGGCA
rnacentral:lncRNA from 1 species